AUAUCAAAAAUAAACAAACUAAGCUCUGUGUAACUAGAAAGGAGCUGAAAGAUUUAAGAUGGAGCCGGGCAGUGGUGGCACAUGCUUUUAAUCCCAGCACAUGGGAGGCAGAGGCAGGUGGAUCUCUGAGUUCAAGACCAUCCUGGUCUACAGAGUGAGUUCCAGGACAACCAGGGCUACACAGAGAAACCCUGUCUUGUGUGUGUGUACACACACAUACUAUGGAAGAUACUGAAAUUGAAAUAGGACAAUAGAGAAAUGUAAUGAAACUGAUUAUUUAUCUUUCAGAAUAUCAUUGUAAUAGAUAAAAAACUAGGCUGAUCUAUAACAAGUAGAAAAUACUGAUAGUCAGUAUCUGUGAAGAUGGAGGAUAUACUAGAGAUCCUGUAUUUAUUAAGAAGUUCGUGAAGGGAAUGCAUGACAGGAGCAAUGUUUUGAGACAAGGUGUCAUGUAGCACAGGAUAACUUUGAACUCUUAAUCCUCCUUUCUCGACUUCACAAGCUCUGGGAUUUUAGGUGUGUGCCGGUAUCUCUUGCUCCAUGAGGAAAUUUAGGACAAAAAGUUAGGCAAUUUAUAUGAGAAUAGAUUCUUUGAAAAACAAAUUAUCACCAAGAAGCAACAAAUCCUUAAUAUCUGUAUUUUGGUUAAGGUAUGAGUUAUAUUUUAAAACUUCCCUAUAAAGAAAAGGUUAUACUUUUAUGUAUUUGAUAUUUAGAAUGGAAAAAUGUAGGAAAAGGCUCAUACCAACUUUUUACAGAUAAUAGUUAAUAAAUUCAUAUAUUUAUAAGUGACCCCCAUCACCUACCAGGAAACUAAAAUUAAAAGGAGACACUCUCAACUUGGUGAACUUCAGCUACAAAAUAAUUAUAAUAGCAUCAAGUAGUAAAAUACUGUGUUUUCCCUCCUUUGCCCAUAAAGAUCCCAGGAUGUUUGAUUUUUAUCAUGAUGGCAUGAAAAGAUAGCCAGUGCAAGAAAAACAAAGAGCUGGAGAGGUGGCUCAGGAGUUAACAGUGCUUGCUGCUUAUGCAGAGGGAUUUGCUCUUAAGGACCACAAUCAGGCAGCUCACAACCACCUGUAAUUGCAGUUCCCAGGGAUCCAUUGGCCUUGUCUUUAAUCUAUGGGCACUAAUAUACAGAUACAUGCACACAUAAAUUUAAAAAGAAAUAAUAAUAAAAGAAACAUCACAUAGAACAGAAGACAAUUUAAAACUUUUCAGACUUGAUUCUUUAUAUAAAAAAAUCUAGAGCAUUAUAAAUGAUCUAUUUACCAAAUACCAUCACUGAGUAACAUGUAAAGUAGAAAGUACCAAAAGUAACAGGAAGGUUCACAUAUUCAUAGUGAAGCAAACCAUCAACACCAUACUCAAUGAAGUUGGAUGCUUGGCAUACCUACUAAAUGUUUGUUCUAUAAGAAAAGUCUUGUCAGAUCCAGGAGCCUCAAAAGUUCUUUGUGUUCUAGAAAUAAGCUAAUGAUGGAAAAUUAAGUGUCCCUCAAAGUGGUGUGUUUUCACGAGGUAGUUGAAAAGCUAGGAAAAUAAAAGCUGUGAUAAGUAUGAAAUUUAUUGAAGGACACUGAAGGUUAAAACUCAUAAAGGAUAUUACUCUGAAAAUUAGCAAAAUACUAAUCUGAAAACAGAAACAGCACAUUUAUUGUCUUGAAUAGCAGUGUCAUUUUUACAGUUUUUUUUCUACACUUAUUCUUUUCAUUGUAUUCCUUGGUAAAAUGAAUAUAUCAGUGUUCACAGUUUAUUUUUAUUCAGUCAUGUUUUGUAUGCCAUAGUAGUCUGUGCUGUUGUGUGUGUUGAUAAUGUAGCUGUAGCAGUGAAUUGUUUAAACCUCCUUGGCUCCCAGAUGGUCAAGCAUCCACCCAAGAGCUCUCUGGAUUCAUGAAUGAAAGACACACAUGUGCCAGCUAAUUUUGAUAUGCCUUGAUUAGCUCCAUGCCUGGGCACUUCUAAACCUCCCCUCAACUAGCACACAUUCCCCUCUGGUAUUCCUGGCUUAACACCUUCUAAAUCUAUAUUUUAUCUUUGCUGUCCUGUUACCUUGUGGGCAGCUGCUGCUCCCCACCCUCACCCCCACCUCCACCCCCAGUAGGACCUCUUUCCCUUUCCACCUACAUUGUUGGAUAAUUUUCUCUCUUGCAGCUCUUAAAUCUUAUCCCUCUUCCUCCAAGUCAUGGAAAUUUUGUUCCUAUUCUUCUCUCCCUUGGUCCCUUGCCCAUGCAGUCUAAAAGUCCCACCUUCAUCUCCCUGCCCAGCCAUUGACUUUAAGGCAAUUCCAAAUGAAGACAUAGCAUUAGAACCAAUUCCCAACAUGUAGCAACUUUAAGAAUAAUCAUAUUUUCCCCCAAGCUAUUGUAAAUUGUUGCCAGGAACUCUAAAAUGUCUGGGGUUUUUGUUUGUUUUGUUUUGUUUUAAUCUUAAUCUUACCUAACCUUAGCAAGUUAGCUUGUUGCCACAAUUUCACAGAUGUUGGUAGAAGACCAGUGCUUUCUGAAUUAGAAGCCAGGCUUUCUGAUUGAUGU
rnacentral:lncRNA from 1 species